rnacentral:lncRNA from 1 species
AAAGAGAAAGCAAAAAGGAAAAGAGAGAAGCAGAAACAAGGAGCUGAAAUUGAAUUUCUGGAUAGGUGAGUUUAGCUCACGGUUUUGAAGUUUUUCUUUAGUUCUUUUGCUUGUUUUAUAAUAUGUUUAAACUAUAAACUUACUUGAGGCUAAGUAUAAGGGUUGUUUAUGAUUUUAUGAUGGCAAAAGAGAGGGGUAAUUGAGUACAAGAACCUGAAAGAAACCAACAGGAAUAGAGAUGUGUUGAUUGAUGAAUUUGGAUGGUUUAAACUUUGANUGUAGACCACAUGGCUGAAGUUGUAGCCAUUCUCCCAAACAGUUCCCAUGUUUCGUCAAUUGUUCUCGUGGAGAUUGACCUGUCGGAUGAUGAAUUCACCAUGCUCUUGAAUGAUGGAAGUAGUCCAGUGUAGAAAAAUCGAAUUUGUGUCUUUUUAUCAAAGCCAUGCCGAGGACACUUCCUUAACAUAUUUUUGAAAUGAUUCCAUGCCUCUUCAAAUGAUUUGGACUCGCCUUGUUGAAUGUAGAGAUUUCAUGUAGCAUUUUUGAUACUUAGUUGGCGAAAAGAACUUAUUGCGGAAUUUGUGGGCUUGCUCGUUCCAACUGGUGAUGCUUGCGACGGCAAAUGAAUCCAGUCAAUCGAGUGCUUGAUCUCGCAAAGUGUGUGGAAACAAUCACAAUCUUAUAGCAUCAUCUGAGAUACCCAGGUACCUAGAGUGUUGGCACAUGUCCAAAAAUUGGGAUAUGUGUGUAUGUGGAUUCUCACUAGCCAUCCCGUGGUAUUGAUGCCCAUUCUGAAAUUGUUGAAUUACAUUUGUUUUCAGCUGGAAGUUCGGUUGCCCAAAUGGAGGAUACAUAAUGCUAGAUUGACUCUGGACCACCAACGGUUCCAUGAAGUCCCCAAGUACCAUAUUCCCUUCAUCUUCAACCCCCGCGCCUUCAUUGAGUUGAAUUAUUGGACUAUUUUGCUCGUUAGCCAUCUGUUGUGCCGCUCUUGCUUCUCUUUGCCUGUGACAAAAUGUGCGUUCAAUCUCUAAAUCAAUGGAAACCAAAUCUCGAUCAGGUGAUCUUUGCAUAUAAGCCCUGAGAUAGCAAAACAACACAAAAUUAAAUUAAAGUAAACAAUAACUAAGUCUAGUAAGCUAACUACUACUAAUCUAAAUAAGUUUGAAUUAGUGUCACAAUAGAUAAAAUUAAACUAAAUUUCAAUCCCCGGCAAUGACGCCAAAAAAUUGUUCACGAAAUUAUUUCUUUCGACUUAAAACCCACCACAAGUGUACGAUUCGUUAACAAGUAGUAAAAUGAAUUAUGAGUCCAAGUAUCGAUCCCACAAGGAUUGAAUUAAUUCAAAUCAACCUAUUAUGACCUUAAUCGAAACACAAAAAUAAGAUUUAUGUAUUGUGAUUUAACUAAGGAAGAUGUGAACUAUGAUGUAAUUAUGAGUGAGAAACUUAUAUCAAAUGCAAAAUGACCUGGACGCAUUCUACGAGAAUUUAUGAAAUUAAUAAAUUUACUAAUGCACUAGGAUCACAAAUUCCCAAACAACACUCGUUCAACUUUUAAUUAUGCAAAUUUGAUACAAAUUCCCACAAUUGAUGAAUCAAUAUUAAUAUUUUAAUUUAGCAAUCUCUCUCGAGUAAUGUCAAACCUACCCCAAUAUGUGAUUCGACUAUAUCUCUAUGACGAAUUAGUACAUACAGGAAUGCAUUAUGAUUUCGUGAUUAUUCAACAAUUCACACAAGGCAUAGAUAUAUAUUUCGAUCUCCUAACGGACCCUAUGAUGAUUUAUACUAUGUCGAGCCUAUUUUCCUUCUUUCGAAUGUAUGAAACAGGCCAUCAAAAUCAUAUAAUUACGUGCACAAUAAUAAUAUGAAAAUAAAAACGUAUAAAUCAUUCAAUUCCGGAACAUGUGCUUAAAUAUGUCAAAUCUCCAAAUUAAAAAUCAAAAGUAGUAUUGCAAGGUUCAUCGAUCUCCUAGCAAUGAAAAAUCUAGCCUAACAUGCUAAAGACCACUCUCUGUCACACCCCAAAUAUAUACAGAUAACCAUACUAAUUCCUAUGUUGAAAUGAUAUUGGUAACUCGAUCUGGACAUAAAAUUUAGAUAUACUUUUUUUUUAAUAAAAUGAAACGAGCAUUUGCACAAUUAUGUCCCUAUUUGUUAACUUCAAAUCACCUAUGAUGAUCAUAUAUUAUAUCAAAAUCAAAGAUCAUUUAACCAUAAUCCAACACGUAUGUUCUAAGGUUAUAAACACAUUUAUAGGCCAUUUCAAAAGUUAUACAAGAUAGGACCCCCCAAAAUACGACACAAUAGAGUGUAAGCUCAAACCAAUAGCCCACAAAAUAACCCUACAGGUCGUCAUCCAUGUACAUUGAUUUUUGGAAUCCCGUAAGAGCUCCAUGUACAUUGAGCUAUGAUAGAAAAUUAGGUUAACUAAAUAUUGGAGAUUGGCUUGAUAAGAAAUGGAAUAUCGAAAAGGUCGAAAAUCGGUAUCGACAAAAGUUCAAGCUUUCUAUUCGGUUGAUUGAGACCACCUUAAACCCUAGAUAGGUAAUUGACAUAUUUGGGACAUGAUACAUAAAGGAACAUGAUCAUGAUGUGAUAAUAUAUGUCUCAUAUGACAUUAUAAAUAUCGAGGUGCGAUUUGAUGAAAUCGGUCGAGAAUGGGGUGUCAAUCGGGUAAGUAAUUAAAUGAACGGUUGAGGAAUUAGUUCUAUGAAAUACUUUGGGAUCUUAGGACAAGUGAAAUGGAUUGUAAACACUUCAAAAUAAGCUGAAGAUACUUGGUUUGUGCCUGCAAAGAUAGAUAUAAAAUCAAAUUUUUUUACUAGUGACCACCUCAUGCUUUUAAUAUUUAUCAUUUUAACACCCAACCUUAAGGCAUCAAUCUCGUGUCCUACUCCUUAAGCACUUAUUCUAGGAUGAAUAUAUAUCUUAUAAUCAUAAAUGGAUCCAAAUAUAAUGGUUGAAAAUCAAGUAUGGCUGCAAUGAAGACACGUCGUGCUUGGCACCUCAUGCUUGGGAUAGUUGUCAUUUUAACACUCAAUCCCUUCAUCCUUAAUAUAUAUAUAUAUAAGUUAAAUAGUCCAAGAGAAAAGUCAAAUAUAGUAGGAAAAGACCACCUCAUGCUAAACACUUGGCUGCGCCCCGCAUUUUCUUAAUCCCUAAGGAAGAGUCACGUCUCCAGCAUCUUGAAGACUUUAUAUACACCUCCUAACAACAUGUUUAGUCUAACAAAUUAUCCCCCAUUGACCACCGAAUGAAAGAGAAAGCAAAAAGGAAAAGAGAGAAGCAGAAACAAGGAGCUGAAAUUGAAUUUCUGGAUAGGUGAGUUUAGCUCACGGUUUUGAAGUUUUUCUAUAGUUCUUUUGCUUGUUUUAUAAUAUGUUUAAACUAUAAACUUACUUGAGGCUAAGUAUAAGGGUUGUUUAUGAUUUUACGAUGGUAAAAGAGAGGGGUAAUUGAGUACAAGAACCUGAAAGAAACCAACAGGAAUAGAGAUGUGUUGAUUGAUGAAUUUAAGUGGUUUAAACUUUGAUUUUGGAUAAUACUUAAGAUAUAAAUUGUAUCUAUGUUAAUGAAUGUUUUUACAUGAUAGUUAUAAGGAUAUAAAUAGCUUUCUAAUAGCCUGAAAUCCGAUUGGUAACAUGCCAAUAAAAUAGAAAUCGAAAACUGUCGCAAUGGAAAACUGUCUGAUUUUAGUGUUGUGGAUAUGGACUAUUUUGUGGCUGAGAACACUUUACUUGUCACGACAUUAGAGAAUUAUUACCUUUAUAUACAUGUUAUAGAAAUGUGGUAAAUGUUUCAGAGUCAUUGGAUAUAGAUAAUGGGGUGAAAAGGGAUUGGAAAAAUAAUUGGACGGUAAGGGAAAUCUGAAAACAGAUUCUGUCCAAUUUUGUGUUUAAUAUGAUUUCAGCCUUUACAUGCACAUUAAUCAUCUCUUGGGCCUAGAAAAUAGAUUCUAACGGUACUAGGUUGUCAACAAAAAUUGGAUGAUGUUGACAUUCAUAAUUUGACUCGAGUAAUAGCGAGAUUUAUGGGAUAAGUUUGUAAUGCCAUUGGUAACUUGAAAUGAUGAUUCCGUCUAAAUUAUUUUGGUGAGAAUGGAUGUAUUUUGGGAUUUUGUGCGUUAAGGUUACUAAAUUAAGGAUUCUCUUUAAUAUUAAAUGGUAAUACAUGUGAUUUUUUGACGUUGAGUGAAAAAGGAAAGUGAUAUAAUCUCCGUAGGAGCUUGUGCACACACAAGGACAAAAAGGUAAGUAAAAAUCCAUUUGCAACUAUGAUGCAAGAACCUAGCAUUUGUGGUAUAGUGAUGUUAGGAUAUUUUCAUACUUUGAUAAGAAAGCUCGUUGUACCCUAUAUGAUGAUUAUGAUCAUUGAGUAUGCGGUUGCAAAAUACAUUGACAUCAACUUCCGUUAAGCAUGUCAUUCAUGAGCAUUUUCGUUGGCAUGCACAACGUAUGAUCAUGGUUGAAAAUCUUGCAUGGAAAACAUGAUUUCAAAGUGAGUUUCAUUAUAAAUGUUUCAUUGACCACUACUAGGGUACCGAGGCAUGUGAGGCAUGCUUAUGUGAUAUGUUUGGCAUUGCGGGUGUUACUUCCCGGGUGACUGCAAAGGUAUACAGAGGAUGGGCCUUUGGUGAUCACGGGAGGACGGAUCACUCGACUGUGCCCUUGUGAUAUUAUGAUUAUUGGCGCUGCUGGGUGGGAGACUUCUUGGGUGAUCAUAGGGGUAGUCAGGGCAUGGACCUCUAGUGGUCACGAGAGGAUGGUCCACUCGCCGGUGUCGAUUUCAUAUUGGCCACUUGAUUAUUGAUAUUGAUAUUAUGCAGAGCUCUAUCCGGUGCAUAGUUGGUGGGUUAAGGGCCCAAUGAAAUGAAAGAUUUCAAAUGAAAUAAUUUCGAGUCGACUUUGAUUAAUAUUGGAAUAUGAUGCAUCUUUAGCAUGAUGUUUAAAGUAAAUGACAUGGUGUCACAUAUCCUUGUUACUCAUACUCAUGACAUGCAUGAUUCUUGCUUACUAAGCAUUGGCUUAUGUAGUUCUUAUAUUGUAGGUGAGCAUGGAACUAUGUAGAGGGCACGGCUAGCUGUGGAGCUCUUACGGGAUUCCAAAUAUCAAUGUACAUGGAUGACGACCUGUAGGGUUAUUUAUUGGGCUAUUGUUUUGAGUUUACACUCUAUUGUGUCGUAUUUUGGGGGUCCUGUCUUGUAUAACUUUUGAAAUGGCCUAUAGAUGUGUUUAUAACCUUUGAACAUACGUGUUGGGUUAUGGUUAUAUGAUCGUUGAUUUUGAUAUAAUAUAUGAUCAUCA